rnacentral:rRNA from 1 species
UACGUAGGGUGCAAGCGUUAAUCGGAAUUACUGGGCGUAAAGCGUGCGCAGGCGGUUAUGCAAGACAGAUGUGAAAUCCCCGGGCUCAACCUGGGAACUGCAUUUGUGACUGCAUAGCUAGAGUACGGUAGAGGGGGAUGGAAUUCCGCGUGUAGCAGUGAAAUGCGUAGAUAUGCGGAGGAACACCGAUGGCGAAGGCAAUCCCCUGGGCCUGCACUGACGCUCAUGCACGAAAGCGUGGGGAGCAAACAGG